rnacentral:rRNA from 1 species
CAGCCGCCACGGUAAUACGUAGGGCGCAAGCGUUAUCCGGAAUUAUUGGGCGUAAAGAGCUCGUAGGCGGUUUGUCACGUCUGCCGUGAAAGUCCGGGGCUCAACCCCGGAUCUGCGGUGGGUACGGGCAGACUAGAGUGAUGUAGGGGAGACUGGAAUUCCUGGUGUAGCGGUGAAAUGCGCAGAUAUUAGGAGGAACACCGAUGGCGAAGGCAGGUCUCUGGGCAUUAACUGACGCUGAGGAGCGAAAGCAUGGGGAGCGAACAGGAUUAGAUACCCGUGUAGUCCCUGUCUCUUAUAC